GCCUUCUUGGCUCAGUUGGCUAGAGCGCAGGUCUCAUAGAAAUAUGACUAAUUCUUAAUUAGUAAUCCUGAGGUCGCAAGUUCGAGCCUUGCAGGGGGCA
rnacentral:tRNA from 1 species